CCAGACUCCUACGGGAGGCAGCAGUGAGGAAUAUUGGUCAAUGGGCGAGAGCCUGAACCAGCCAAGUCGCGUGAAGGACGACGGUUCUAUGGAUUGUAAACUUCUUUUGUAGAGGAAUAAUGGCAGCUACGCGUAGCUGAGAUGCAUGUACUCUACGAAUAAGUAUCGGCUAACUCCGUGCCAGCAGCCGCGGUAAUACGGAGGAUACGAGCGUUAUCCGGAAUUAUUGGGUUUAAAGGGUGCGUAGGUGGCGUAUUAAGUCAGUGGUGAAAAGCUGCAGCUCAACUGUAGUCUUGCCGUUGAAACUGAUAUACUAGAGAGGAGACGAGGUAUGCGGAAUGUGUGGUGUAGCGGUGAAAUGCAUAGAUAUCACACAGAACGCCGAUUGCGAAGGCAGCGUACCAGGCUCCGUCUGACACUGAAGCACGAAAGCGUGGGGAUCAAACAGGAUUAGAUACCCUGGUAGUCCACGCAGUAAACGAUGAUUACUAGGAGUUUGCGAUAUAGUGUAAGCUCUACAGCGAAAGCGUUAAGUAAUCCACCUGGGGAGUACGCCGGCAACGGUGAAACUCACAGGAAUUGACGGGGGCCCGCACAAG
rnacentral:rRNA from 1 species